AUGACUGAAGAAAGAGAGGGAGGGAGGGAAGGAAGAAACAGGGAAGAAAAAGCAGAACAGGGGAGGGUGACUGUGAGGGAGAGAGAGGAGGGAAUGAGUGAAGAUAAGCUGAGAGAACUUAAAAGCGUCGCUGCAACACCGGUCUUGAAAGAGAAGAAGCCACUCGCUGAUUGGUCCAACAUCCCCAGCUCGGUCCCUUGCAUGAUGUCACUCUCGCCGCUGACCAUUCACAAAUCACCUCAGGAAAAAGCCAAAGAAUCUGCCAGUUUACCCCGGAGACGGAGCACGCACCGCAACAAUAAGCUCGCCGAUAGGCCAAUCUCGGCGCAAGGGCUGGUGAGAAUGGUACCCGACAGUCCGAGCCCAGAGCGCUUCACUUCCCCUCUCCCCUCCCACCGGCACAGCAACGGGCACAUCAACGGGCACAGACCUGGGCCCAGCAAUGGCAGUGAUCUCCUCACCCCCUGUAACAGUGCUAGUAGCUCCCGUGCUGCCAGGUCAGUGGAGGGGGAAAAAACGUCUAAAAUCACAACGUUUAAAAGAACACGUUAGUGUGAUUGUGAAUAAGAGGAGGUAUCUGAUUGGCUGUCAGAUGGGAAGAGAUGAGUUGUCUGUGGAAGAUUGAUUGGGUGAUUGGGUCAAAGUGGAGAUGUAGUUGAUGUGAGGUGGAGUGGGAUAGACUGGUCAGGUGCGUUUUCUAGGUGUGUGUGAGUGAAAUAUAAAUGCUGCUCUCAGUCUGUGUGUGCAUGUGUACGUAUGCUUGUACGUCUGCGUCUCCGACGACAAUAAUGACAGUAACUCUGCUGAAAUAUGUAUUUUUCCUUCUCCCUCCAGCCCAAAUCUGGGACUUUUAAACCUGGUGGAGAUUGAGAGGAGACUGAGGGAGGCCAAAGCGGAGAGAGAGAGGCUUCUCAAAGAGAGGGUGAGUCACCACCAUUAAUAUCCCUAAUCACUUCAGACACAGCUUUAGACGUGCCAGGUCAUAUUCAUUAGGGCACACCGUAACACAACGUUUAAAAAGAGUUUGUUGGCCUCCCGGGUGUCGCUGUGCCACCAGAGACUCUGGGUUCGAGCCCAGGCUCUGUCGCAGCCGGGCCAUGACCGAGAGGUCCAUGGGGCGACGCACAAUUGGCCUAGCGUCGUCCGGGUUAGGAAGGUUUUGGCCGGUAGGGAUGUCCUUGUCUCAUCGCACACUAGCGACUCCUGUGACAGGCCGGGCACAGUGCGCGCUAACCAGGUCGCCAGGUGCACGGUGUUUCCUCCAACGCAUUGGUGCGGCUGGUUUCCGGGUUGGAUGCACGCUGUGUUAAGAAGCAGUGCGGCUGGUUUCCGGGUUGGAUGGUGCUGUGUUAAGAAGCAGUGCGGCUGGUUUCCGGGUUGGAUGCACGCUGUGUUAAGAAGCAGUGCGGCUGGUUUCCGGGUUGGAUGGUNGACAAGGAUGACUUUGU
rnacentral:lncRNA from 1 species